GACGAACGCUGGCGGCGUGCUUAACACAUGCAAGUCGAACGAUGAAGCCGGAGCUUGCUCCGGUGGAUUAGUGGCGAACGGGUGAGUAACACGUGAGCAAUCUGCCCUUGACUCUGGGAUAACUGCGGGAAACUGUAGCUAAUACCGGAUACGACACCUUGGGGCAUCCCAGGGGGUGGCAAGAAUUUCGGUCAAGGAUGAGCGUGGGGCCUAUCAGCUAGUUGGUGAGGUAAUGGCUCACCAAGGCGACGACGGGUAGCCGGCCUGAGAGGGUGACCGGCCCCACUGGAACGGAGACACGGUCCAGACUCCUACGGGAGGCAGCAGUGGGGAAUCUUGGACAAUGGGGGAAACCCUGAUCCAGCGAUGCCGCGUGUGUGAAGAAGGCCUUCGGGUUGUAAAGCACUUUAGGUGGGGAAGAAAGGUAGCGAGUGAAUAACUUUCUGCUGUGACGGUACCCACAGAAUAAGCACCGGCUAACUCUGUGC
rnacentral:rRNA from 1 species